rnacentral:rRNA from 1 species
GUCGAACGAUGAACCGGUUUCGGCCGGGGAUUAGUGGCGAACGGGUGAGUAACACGUGGGCAAUCUGCCCUGCACUCUGGGACAAGCCCUGGAAACGGGGUCUAAUACCGGAUACGACUGCCGACCGCAUGGUCUGGUGGUGGAAAGCUCCGGCGGUGCAGGAUGAGCCCGCGGCCUAUCAGCUUGUUGGUGGGGUGAUGGCCUACCAAGGCGACGACGGGUAGCCGGCCUGAGAGGGCGACCGGCCACACUGGGACUGAGACACGGCCCAGACUCCUACGGGAGGCAGCAGUGGGGAAUAUUGCACAAUGGGCGCAAGCCUGAUGCAGCGACGCCGCGUGAGGGAUGACGGCCUUCGGGUUGUAAACCUCUUUCAGCAGGGAAGAAGCGUGAGUGACGGUACCUGCAGAAGAAGCGCCGGCUAACUACGUGCCAGCAGCCGCGGUAAUACGUAGGGCGCAAGCGUUGUCCGGAAUUAUUGGGCGUAAAGAGCUCGUAGGCGGCUUGUCGCGUCGGAUGUGAAAGCCCGGGGCUUAACUCCGGGUCUGCAUUCGAUACGGGCAGGCUAGAGUUCGGUAGGGGAGAUCGGAAUUCCUGGUGUAGCGGUGAAAUGCGCAGAUAUCAGGAGGAACACCGGUGGCGAAGGCGGAUCUCUGGGCCGAUACUGACGCUGAGGAGCGAAAGCGUGGGGAGCGAACAGGAUUAGAUACCCUGGUAGUCCACGCCGUAAACGUUGGGAACUAGGUGUGGGCGACAUUCCACGUUGUCCGUGCCGCAGCUAACGCAUUAAGUUCCCCGCCUG